AGCUUUGCGCAGAGGCAGUAUCGUAGCCAAUGAGGCUUAUCCGAGCUGAUUAUUGCUAAUUGAAAAAUUUGAGCAGUUCACACCUGCAAUCCCAAAACAAAGGCAGGAGGAUUAGAAAUUCAUGACCAACCUGAG
rfam:Dipodomys ordii contig_52527, whole genome shotgun sequence.